AGGACGAACGCUGGCGGCGUGCUUAACACAUGCAAGUCGAGCGGAAAGGCCCUUCGGGUACUCGAGCGGCGAACGGGUGAGUAACACGUGAGUAACCUGCCCCUAGCGUCUGGGAUAAGCGUCCGGGAAAACCGGGAUUAAAUACCAGAUACGACCACUUUAGACAUCUGUCGUGGUUGGAAAGGAUUCCGGCCAGGGAUGGGCUCGCGGCCUAUCAGCUUGUUGGUGGGUAACGCCUACCAAGGCGACGACGGGUA
rnacentral:rRNA from 1 species